AUGUUAAACUUUUUUUUUUUUUUUUUUUUUUUUUUUUUGUCAUUGAUUAUUUCAAAUAUCACUGAAAUUAAGUGUUACAAAAUAAAAAUCAAUCACAAAUAUACUCUUCCAUUUUUUAAUAAUAACACAAAAAAGUAUAAUAAUAAAAUUAUAACGCAUAUCAACCAUAUACAAUCUAACGAAAAUGACGUUAUAACAGAAGGGUUAGAAAAAAAUGUAAAAAGUAUUAUUGGUCUUGAGGUUCAUAUACAGUUAAGUACUAAACACAAAGCUUUUUGUAACUGCUUUAAUAUAUCAUCACUAUAUAAAGAAAAAAGUUAUGAAAAAUAUAAUAACGAAUUGAUUAGUUUUUUAAAUGAAAAUGUUUUUAAAAAAUGUAAAAAAAAAGAAAACAACAUAUUGAACAUGUUAAGUGAAAAAAUAAAAAUGGAGUUAGUUAAAAAGGAAAAGAAUACAUCAGUACACACUGACAUAAAUAUGGAUACAUAUACUAAUACAUAUAGCGAUAAAGUUAUUAAACCAAACAAAUAUAUCUGCAAUGUUUGUAUAGGAGAAGUAGGUUCAUUAAAUACAUUGAAUGCCACUGCUGUAUUAUUUACAUAUUUAAUUGGAAUUAUUUUUAAUUGUAAGCUUAAUAAUGUUAUUAAUUUUGAUAGAAAAAUUUAUAAUUAUUAUGAUUUACCAAAAGGCUAUCAAAUUACUCAAAAAUAUAAACCUAUAGGCUCAAAUGGUUAUUUUAUUAUUGAUGGAAAAAAAUUUUAUAUAAACAGUGUGCACUUAGAGGAAGAUACAAGUAAAUGUUUUAUACUGCAUAAUACUUUUAGUGGUAACAGUGGUGGUAAUAGUGGUGAUGGUAGUGAAAGUGGCGAUAGUGGAAGUAGCGAUAGUGGAAGUGGCGAUAGUGGAAGUGGCUAUAGUGGUGGUACCGAUGACACAUAUAACCAUUCCAACGAUACUAACACAAACAUAAUUACCAGUACUGAUACAAAUGCAAAAGAAACUGUUCCCAAGUGCUUAAACACAAAAAACAUUAUACAGAAUAAAAUAUUAUUAGAUUAUAAUAGAUGUGGUAUUCCAUUAGUAGAAAUUGUUGUAAAUAAAGAUUAUAUGACUGUUGAUGAUUGUAUAAAUUUGCUUAAAGUUAUAAAAAAUAAAGUAUGCAUAUUAGGUGUUUGUGUAGGUAAUAAAGAAAAUAUAAGGUCAGAUAUAAACAUAUCUUUUGAAUAUAAAAAUAUAAAGUCAAAUCGAAUUGAAAUUAAAAAUGUAAACAGUUUUACAAAAAUAAAAAAUUGUAUUAAAAUAGAAAAGCAAAAUUUUAUAAACCGCAUUAAAAAAAAAAACAGUAUUAAUAAUGAUAGUAAUAAUGGAUGUAAUAGUGGUGAUAAUAAUGGAUGUAAUAAUGGUAAAUAUGAUAAACACGUAUAUACGAAAAGUUACUUAGAUAAUAAAAAUUACAUGUUACGAAAAAAAGAAGAAUAUACAUAUGUACACGAAAGUAACAUCCCUGAAUAUAAAUUAAAAAAAAACAUUUUAAAUUUGUUAUAUUUUUAUGUUAAUCAUAAAAUUAAAAUAUAUGAUGAUAAAAAAAAAUAUAAAUGGUCAGAUCAGUAUUUUCAUGUUUUUUCUAGUGACCCAUUUUUAUAUAACUAUUUCAAUGAAUGCUUAUUAUAUGAACAAGAAAAAAAUGUUUCUAAUUUUAUAGUUAAUAUAUUAUUAGAUGUUUUAAAAAAAAAAAAGUUAUUAUCGAAAAACAUUUUAAUUAAACCUAAACACAUGUGCUAUCUUAUUAAAUAUUUAAAAAAAAACAAAAUAGAUAAAACAUAUCUUAAAACGUAUCUGUAUAAACAUAUAGACAUCGGAUUUGAUAAAACAGAAAUACUUAACAAUGUAAACACAACAAGUUAUGAAGAAAUAAAACAAAUAGUAAAAAAAUUAAUUAAUAAUAAUAUCAAAUAUGUACAAAUAGAUAAUAAACAUAAUAAUGUUAUUCUUAAUGAACAAAAUUUUAAAAAUAGAAUUAUCGGACUAUUAAAAAAUCAGGUUAAGCAAUUGAAUAGCCAGUUAAAUAUUAAUUACCACUCUGUGAGCGAUUUCAUUAUUUAUUAUGUUAGAAAAUUGGUUUGUGCACAGGCUGAAUGA
ensembl:lncRNA